UACGGAAGGCAGCAGUGGGGAAUAUUGCACAAUGGGCGAAAGCCUGAUGCAGCUAUGCCGCGUGUAUGAAGAAGGCCUUAGGGUUGUAAAGUACUUUCAUCGGGGAGGAAAAAACAAAACUAAUAAUUUUAUUUCUUGACGUUACCCGAAAAAGAAGCACCGGCUAACUCCGUGCCAGCAGCCGCGGUAAUACGGAGGGUGCUAGCGUUAAUCAGAAUUACUGGGCGUAAAGAGCACGUAGGUGGUUUUUUUAAAGUCAGAUGUGAAAUCCCUGGGCUUUAACCUAGGAACUGCAUUUUGAAACUGAAAUACUAGAGUAUCGUAGAGGGAGGUAGAAUUCUAGGUGUAGCGGUGAAAUGCGUAGAUAUCUGGAGGAAUACCUGUGGCGAAAGCGGCCUCCUAAACGAAUACUGACACUGAGGUGCGAAAGCGUGGGGAGCAAACAGGGAUUAGAUACC
rnacentral:rRNA from 1 species